GUGCUCGCUUCAGCCCACAGAUACCAAAAUUGGAAUGAUACAGAGAGGAUUAGCAUGGCCUCUGCGCAAGUAUGGCACACAAAUUCAGGAAGCAUUCCAUAUUUUA